GAUGAAGAACGUAGUGAAAUGCGAUACGUAAUGUGAAUUGCAGAAUUCAGUGAAUCAUCGAGUCUUUGAACGCACAUUGCGCCCCCUGGUAUUCCGGGGGGCAUGCCUGUCCGAGCGUCAUUGCUGCCCUCAAGCACGGCUUGUGUGUUGGGCCUCCGUCCUCCUCCCGGGGGACGGGCCCGAAAGGCAGCGGCGGCACCGCGUCCGGUCCUCGAGCGUAUGGGGCUUCGUCACCCGCUCUUGUAGGCCCGGCCGGCGCUUGCCGACACAUCAACCUUUUUUCCAGGUUGACCUCGGAUCAGGUAGGGAUACCCGCUGAACUUAAGCAUAUCAAUAAGCGGAGGA
rnacentral:misc_RNA from 1 species